AGCCUGGUGGUGUAUUGGGAACAUGUCCUCUGUAAUUAUGCCGAAGAUAUAGAUGGCAAUGGUUUCAGAGGAGGAGCCCUGUUCGAUUCGGGGUCAGGCUG